UGUACUUCAUUUGUUCCACACCUGGUCACUGUUCCGGCGGCAUGAAGCUAGCAGUCACCGUUGUCGCAGCCAGUGGCACCCCAAGUACCCCCACCACACCUGCCCCCCCAGUAUCCGACGGUGGUUCAACCACCCACCAACCACCCCAUCAACCACCAGUACCACACCACCACCACCAUCGAAGAAUAAUAAUGGAGCCACCAGCAUUUUAUAUAACAUGAUGCUUGGUGUCUUUCUUGUAUUCGGAACAACUGUUGCAUUGAUGGGCUAGUG
rnacentral:lncRNA from 1 species